UACGGAGGGUGCGAGCGUUGUCCGGAAUCACUGGGCGUAAAGGGCGCGUAGGCGGCAUGCCAAGUGUGUGGUGAAAGCCCGGGGCUCAACCCCGGGUCGGCCGUGCGGACUGGCGUGCUCGAGCACUGUAGGGGCGGGUGGAAUUCCGGGUGUAGCGGUGGAAUGCGUAGAGAUCCGGAAGAACACCGGUGGCGAAGGCGGCCCGCUGGGCAGGAAGGCUCGCAAGAGCCGGCUGACGCUGAGGCGCGACAGCGUGGGGAGCAAACAGG
rnacentral:rRNA from 1 species